rnacentral:lncRNA from 1 species
CCACAUACACACAAAAGAAAGGGGAGUAACAGAAAAGGAAAAAAAAGAAAGCUGCAAUCAGUUCUUUCUCUCUCUCUCUAGAUUCUACUCUCUCUCUUCCUCUCUUUAAAAUUGAACCUCCAUUCGCCGCCCUCUCUUGCCGUCACCAACGAGACCCCCCAUUUCUAAGCUCCCUCCGGCCGAUGACCAGCGAAACCAUUGCUGCCGCCAUCGCCACCACUUCCCGCCGGCCAGCGACGCCCAACGAAACCACCGCCAGCUCCGACGAAACAAUCACCAUCCGGCGAAGACGCUGCUGAUGUUUCAACCAUAACGAUGACGGCCGGCCCACCAAUACCGACACCGGCGAUAACGCUCCAGCCGCAGCUUUCUUCUCUCUUCUCCUCCGGCCAAACCCGCCAGAUCUGCCGCGCCGGCGUUGGUGCCAACGCCGCUCCGUGUUGGCCAGCUCCGGCCGCAGUCGUCCGCCGGUGACAACACCGUUCGCCGAUCGAGAAUCUGACUAGCUCCGCUGCUCUAAUUUCCUUCUCCAUCGGCGACAGUCACCGAAAACAGCGACACCGGUGACCGACAAUGACACCCCGUCCGUUUUUCCUUCGACUCCGAUGAGAUUUCGCGUAUGGGUCUUCUCGAUUUUUCAUAAUUUCAGUCUCGGUUCAUCUGGUAUUUCUUAUUUCUUCGUGCAAGGAUAGUUGGAAAUCGUUGAUUUGGAGUUUCGAAUCUGGGAUCUUGGGUUGUUUUUGAUGUUUAUUCUGAUUUGUGGGUUAUUCAUCGUGAGGUUUUUGUCGUGGUUUUCCGAUCUCUCCGGUUAAACUCAAUAUCGAGUUUGGAGUGGUUAGUUGUGAGGUUCUCCGAUAGAGUAUUUUGGUCUUCGAAUUUCUUUAUUAUCGACAAGGAUUAGUUUCGUCAAGGUCCAUUUCUUCUAACCGAAUCUUUAAUUUAUCUUGACUUUUUAUUGAUGUUGUUGGGGUGGAUGAUUUAUUUGUUGUGUGUUUGGUUUGAAUCUUCGUUGUUUGUGUUGAUUUCGGAUUAUGAGAUGUGAUUGGAAAAUCGAAGCAAGCAUUAAUCAUGUGGUUUAAAGGGAAUUCGGGGCGCGAGUUAAAAAUUAUUAAAGUGAAUUAGGAUUAAUUUUCAUUUGUUGUUGUUUUGAUUGGUCGUUAUUGUUACUUUCACGGCUAAUUAUCAAUUUCGUGAUAGUAUCAUGGUAAGUUAAGCGGGUAGGCAAUCGUAGGUUCGGGUAGGCGAAAUUUAGGAAUAAGUGUUUCGUUAGAUGUUGGAAUGUGCGUGUGAAUGUUUCUUUCUAGUUUAUCGUAUUUAAUUUAGAUGUAUUUAUUUAGCCGGGGAAUGCCCCGAGAUCACUUGUAUUUAUUCACCGGGGAAUGCCCCCCGACGUAUUAUGUUGGCGGAAAAUGAUCGUGAUGAAGGCCCGCGGCGUCGGGUAGGGCAUUGGGGCUUAGAUUUAGUUUUAGACUAGGAUUUAUAUUUCGUAUUUUUUCUAUUUUUCGGACUGUAUAAUUGGACUGGACUUUUACGUUUUUGGACUGUUUUGUUUUGUUUAUUGUUUGAUUAUUUUGUGUUCUUUUGUGUGGUUUAUACAUUUCAUAAUGCCAAAAUAGUCGAUACACUCCACCAAGCAACCGUGGUCGAACCACGGGAUCGAGGGGUGCCUAACACCUUCCCCUCGGUCAAUAGAAUUCCUUAGCCGGAAUCUCUAUUCGCAAACCGGUUUAAGAUUCAAAUGGUUUCGAAAAGGAUUUUUCAAAGUUGGUGACUUGGCACACCGGAUUAUGCCAAGUGACGACUCUGAAUAAAAAAUGCAAAUAAUCCUUUUCCGAAAUAAAUUUUCAUUUCUUGUCACUUGAAUAAUAAAACCCUUUCGAACUUUAAAAUGUAUCCAUUUUUUGGAGUACGCGUAAAAAAGGGGUGUGACAGCUUUUGGCGACUCUGCUGGGGAGUAUGACAAGUUUUCAGAAUUUGAGCUAUUUUUGGAGUCGUAUCGGCUUUGUUUGGCAUUACGAGUGUAUAAACAUUGUUUGUGGUUAUUGUUUGUGUUAUUUCACGUUUUGUGCUUUUUCGUGCUCUUUGUUUAUAUUAUUUAUCCUAUGUGUUACCGUUUUAUAUCUGUCAUCAUGAGUCCACCCGCCAGCCUUCUUUCUGCAACAAGUCCGUAGUACACGUGUUGUACACAACCUCUAGUUUUAGGAUCGGUCAGUGUUAUGGAGUAGGAAGAAAACAAAGCAGCCACUAUCGACCAUACGCUCCCCCGAGCAGCCUUGUUAGUGAACCACAACGUAGGUCAGCCUUUAAGUCAUGCUUAUGUGCAUCAUACGGACUUAGCGGGACCCACAUGGCCCUUUGUAGGAAACUCACCUCUAAAGCAUUCCUACGUGCUAACUGUUGCAUUUUAAAGGGUAACGUGGUCAUUUGACGGACUGAUUUUUGAAAAAAAAAUUUAGGGGUAAGGUGCGUAGGUAAAAACGAAAAAAAAAAAUAAUAAUGAAAAAUAGAAAAAGUGAGGCGAAAAGAAUGAAAAAAAAAGAGAGGAAUGUCGUAGUUUAUUUUAGAAUUCGUUAUGGCUUUUGUUCUUCACAAUUCAAAAACUCAAAAAGACUUUUUUUUUACGUUUUGCAAAAAAAAAAUCCAAAAAGAUUUUUCUGUAUAAUUGGUAGUAUCAGUCUUGGUUAAAGUGUAUAGUUGAAAAUCCAAAAAAAUUUAUUCGUUUGUUUUGAUUGGGUCUCUUAAGUUAGGGCCAAUUUAUUAGUUAAUCGUUAAUUGUCUAAUCUGGACGAACUACGCACCCCAGAUUCUUCUCUUUCGGGAGUGAGAUACGUAGGCAGCCUAUUGUUGGUUCGGGGAUCUUAUUUGAAAAAUCCAAAAAUAUUUCUUCACUCUCCAUUUAGAGUAGGCGUUUUAUAUACGUCUUUAAAAGAAAACUACAAAAUAAUUUUUCUUUAAUAGGUUCGAGUUUCCUUUUCAUAUGAAAUUCAAAAUUGAAAACCCCAAAAGAUUUUUCUUUGGUAAUCAUAGGUUUCGUUUUGUAUAAGUAUUUUAAAAGUAAAAAAAUGCAAAAGAUGUUCGUCAAUUCUUUUGACAAAUUGUUAUUUUUCUUUUCUUCUUAAAGUUUCAAGAAAAAAAAGUUUAAUUGACCAUUUUGGCAAGGCCCGAACUACACAAGAUCUGAUUCAUGUACGACAUGAUACGUAGGCAACCUAAAGAGAAGAAAAACAAAAGCCAUAAAGAAUGAUAAAAUAAAGGUAGAUAACGAGAGAAAGAAAAGAGCAGAGAUUGAUACGAAAAAAAAAGAAGAAAAAAAGAGAAAAGAGAGAGGGAAGGAAAAAUAAUAAUAAGUGUAGAUAAAAAUAGUAUAGACAAAAAUCAAGAUGAUGUUAAAAUGACCUAGCUACCCUCAAAAGUUGGUAGAAAUGAGCAUGAAUUUAGGGCAAUUUUACCAAUGUUAUUUCCAUGCUUGUUGUGUGCCCCAAUCCUAACGGAUGUCGUCUUUGAUGAGCAUGUUCUUUCAGAUAAACAGUGGUAGGUUUGCAGCACUCUGGCUAGUCACCUAUACGUCACCAGAUCCAAAGCAAAGAUCGUCAUGGCUAACAGGGAGAUUGAAAAUUCGCUCAUUGACCCGAAUCAGGAUCACAAGGAAGAAAGUUCUGAACACAAUGAUAAGGCAAUAAUUGAUAGAUUUACACCGGGCAUGGGCCAGCGGAAUGCCUCCUCCUCCGCUCCCUGGAGGUCUUGGGAAUAUCUCUAAUUGCCCACCGCUCUCUUAGGUGCAAUUCUCUGCUCCUACUGAGUCACCUGAGCACGCGUCGGGAUUUACUCCGCGACAUUAUUAUCCUGGCAGUUCUAGUGUGCCCUUAGCAGCUCCCCAAUCAAGACCCGCUGCUCAGCCAGCGCCAUCGAUCACACCGGUAUUCGUGGCUCCACCACCACAUGAAACUCCCAUAUAUGCUGCGCGUCCCACAAUGAGGCUUCUUAGGUCUUCCAGUGAGCCAGUACUGAAGGUUUUAGAUGGUCAGUAUUAUGCCCCGGAGCCUACUUUGCAAAUGAAUGAACCGUAUGGGUAUACUCAGCCGCCUGCAUUUCCAUUUGAUACGGAGAAACCUGUCACAGUAGAGGAACAGGAUAUCAUAGCCCGAAAACUAAAGAGUUUAGAGCAGGCUAUGAGAAAUCUGCAAGGGAUCGGAGAUUACAGGAGUGUUUCUUGUAACGAUCUGUGCAUGUUCUUAGACAUCAAUCUUCCCCCCGGUUUUAAGAUGCCUAAGUUUGAGAAGUAUGCAGGACACGGUGAUCCCAUUGCACACUUAAGACGUUAUUGCAACCAGUUGAGCGCUGCAGGAGGAAAGGAAGAACUGCCCAUGACUUUCUUUGGCGAGAGUCUUUCAGAUCUGGCCUCAGAAUGGUUUAUCGAUCGAGAUAUCGAUAAAUGAAACAACUGGGAUGAUUUGUCUUUUGAAUUUGUUCAACAUUUUUAGUACAACAUCGACUUGAUUCCGAACGAAAAAUCCUUGGUCAAUAUGAAAAAGAAGAGCACUGAAGGUUUUAGGGAAUACGCGAUAAGGUGGCGUGAACAGGCCAUCAGGGUAAAGCCUCCAAUGAAAGAAAGUAAGUUGGUAGAGGCACAGGAUGAGACCUAUUUUCAGCAUUUACUUCCGGCAAUGGGAAAAUCUUUUAUGGAAGUUCUCAAAAUGGGGAGAUGAUAGAGGAUGAAAUUAAGACCAUCCGAAUAGUGAGUUUUGCAGCAUUAAAAGCUACCACACAAGCGAUUCAAGGUGGAUCUGGUGCAUUUGGAGGUAGAAAGAAGAAAGAGGACGUGUCGACUGUCAUAGCUGGAACCCAUUCCUAUCUCAAAAGACCACCUCGCCCCUAUCCCCAAUCCCAAGACCAAGUCUACACCCAAGCUCCAUAUAUUCCUGCCCACCAUUACUACCCUCCAUAAAACCCUUUAUAUUCUAUUUCACCACCACCGUACCCAGUAUAUAGCGCGCAACCAUAUGCCCAAACCCCUUCUUACCUGCAAUAGCGCACACAAGCUCCGCAAAAUCUCCCAUUCGCUCCACCAAAUUACCAAAACCCCUCCAGACCCAGUUUUCAGCCUAGGCUCGAGUAUAAGAAGGAUAAGGCGGUCAAAAAUUAAUUCACACCUCUUGGGGAGUCGUAUGCUAGCUUGUUUGAUAAGUUGAGAAAGUUGAAGGUUUUAAGCCGAAUUCAAGAAAGGUUUUCAAAUCCACCACCGAGGAAUCUCGAUUAUUCUUUAAGGUGUGCGUACUGUUCUAAUAUGCCAGGCCAUGAUAUCGAGAAAUGCUGGUAUUUAAAGAGAGCUAUCCAAGAUUUAAUUGACACAAAUCAGAUGUUGGUCCAGGCCCCAGAAGGUCCAAACAUUAACCAGAAUCCACUGCCAACCCAUGCUGAAGCCAAUAUGCUAGAAUUGAUAUAUGACGAGAAAGAGUCUUCGAGAGACUAUAAGCCUAUUGUCAAGAUACAGACCACUGAUGGGAAAUCGAUGAAUGUAGCGGAGUCUUUGAAAGCAAUGUCAUUGAACCGAGAAAGAAUGAAAGAAGAUAAAGCCCAAGAAAGCACAAAGAAACCCCUGAUCACAGUACAAGGCGCCAGAAGGCAUGUUGAUUCAAGUCAGGAUAAACCUAAGUUGACAGUGGUGGGAGCUCUGAGUCAGCCCAUCUUGACGGUGAAAGAAGCACUGGCAAUGCCUAUGUGACCCAACCUCCGAUAGUUGAUACGAAAAGGGUUCCUUGGAAUUAUGGGUGGACUUGAUGACCUAUCACGGGAAAGAAGUGGUGGAAGAUGUAGAUGAGGUAGGAGGUUUGACUAGGUCAAGAAGAUGCUUCGUGCCUGAAAGCUUAAGAAAGUCCAAGCCAACGGUGAGUGGACCGUCGUCUAUCAAAAAGCCUAUCACUGAAGAGGAAGCCAAAGAAUUUUUGAAAAAGAUAAAAUUGCCAGAGUAUUCAAUAUUAGAUCUGAAGAAAACUCCUGCUCAAAUUUCCCUUUUAUCUUUGUUGUUGCACUCCAAGGAGCAUCGUGAUAUUUUACUGAAGGUAUUAAAUUAAGCAUAUGUUCCAAGGGAAAUUACAAUCAACCAACUUGAGAAAAUGGUUGAAAAAAUCUUUGAGGUCAAUCGGAUCAGCUUUUCUGACGAUGAAUUGCCUGUUGAAGGUACAGGGCAUAACCGGGGCCUUUACAUUACAGUGAAGUGUGAAGAUUUCUACGUCACUCAUGUUAUGAUUGAUGGAGGUUCAGGUGCAAAUAUCUGCCCUAUUUCUACUUUACAAAAGUUGAAUAUUGGUGCUGACAGGAUCAGGCCCAACAAUGUAUGUGUUAGGGCUUUCGAUGGUACAAAAUCAAAUUCCAUUGGCGAAAUAGAACUAAUGUUGACCGUAGGGCCUAUUGAGUUCGCCAUAGAGUUUCAAGUUUUGAAUGUAGACUCCUCUUACAAUCUGUUGUUGGGAAGACCGUGGAUCCACAAGGCCAAGGCGGUUGCCUCUACACUGCACCAAAUGAUUAAGUUUGAGUAUGACAGGAAAGAAGUUGUUAUUCAUGAUGAAGGAGAUUUGUCAGCUUACGAAAAUUCUCCCUUGUCUCUUAUUGAAGCAAAUAACGUGGAGGUGACAUUCGUCUAUCAAAUUUUUGAUACAGUGCCAGUGAGUCGUAUCCCUAAAUGGCAGGCUAUACCGAGACCGCAAUUGUCUUCUACUUCUAUCAUGAUGGUGAGUGAACUUUGGAAAUACGGAUUUGAGCCAUGAAAGGGUUUGGGAGCGUCUCUACACGGUAUAGUUCAUCUCAUAUGUCCGAGUGAGAACGUGGGCAUGUUUGGGCUGGGAUUUGAGCCUACAACUGAAGAUCUGAAGAAAGCCAAGGGAAGGAAAAAGGAAAUAUGGUCACUCCCUCGCCCAAUGCCACUACUCAGUGAAUCAUUUGUUAAGAGCGGUGUCACGAAGCACGUGGAAUUUGAGGUUGAAUUGGUUGAUGACUUCCAGAACCUUUGUAUUGAAGUUGAUAUGGUCGAAGCAGGAGAAGGUACCAGUAUGACAGACGUGCAAUUCAUAGGUCCAGCUGUCCAGCUCAAUAAUUGGGAANNNNNNNNNNNNNNNNNNNNNNNNNNNNNNNNNNNNNNNNNNNNNNNNNNNNNNNNNNNNNNNNNNNNNNNNNNNNNNNNNNNNNNNNNNNNNNNNNNNNNNNNNNNNNNNNNNNNNNNNNNNNNNNNNNNNNNNNNNNNNNNNNNNNNNNNNNNNNNNNNNNNNNNNNNNNNNNNNNNNNNNNNNNNNNNNNNNNNNNNNNNNNNNNNNNNNNNNNNNNNNNNNNNNNNNNNNNNNNNNNNNNNNNNNNNNNNNNNNNNNNNNNNNNACUAAUCAAGAUGUAAUAAAGCAGGAUGAGGAAUAUGAUGAAAAAAAAGCACUAGAAGAAAUAAGCAAAGAGUUGGAACAGUUUGAAGACAAACCGAAUCUUAAUUUGAAUGAGACUGAGUCAAUAAAUCUAGGAGAUCAAGAAGAUGUCAAGGAAACUAAAAUCAGUGUACAUGUUUUGCCACAGCUAAAAGAUGAAAUGAUUCAAGCAUUAAUGGAUUAUAAGGAUGUUUUUGCAUGGUAUUAUGAUGAUAUGCCUGGUUUAAGCACUGAAUUAGUGGCUUACAAAUUGCCAACUGAUCCCGCGUUCCCUCCUGUCAAACAGAAGUUGAGGAAGUUUAAAACGGAUGUAAGUAUUAAAAUUAAAGAGGAAAUCAUGAAACAACUUGAAGCCAAAGUAAUUCGAGUAGCUCGCUAUCCCAUGUGGUUAUCCAAUGUUGUUCCCGUACCAAAGAAAGAUGGCAAAAUUUGAGUGUGUGUUGAUUACCGUGAUUUGAACAGAGCCAGUCCGAAAGAUGAUUUUCCACUGCCCAAUAUCCACAUUUUGUUAGACAAUUGUGCUAAACACGUGGUUGCUUCUUUUGUGGAUUGCUAUGUCGGAUAUCACUAGAUCAUUAUGGAUGAUGAAGAUGUGGAGAAGACGUCUUUUAUCACACCAUGGGGAACUUAUUGUUAUCGAGUGAUGCCGUUCGGUUUGAAGAAUACUGGAGCAACAUAUAUGAGAGCCAUGACCACUAUGUUUCAUGACAUGAUGCAUAAAGAGAUUAUGGUCUACGUACAUGAUGUGAUUAUUAAGUCAAAAAGUCAGGCCGACCAUGUUAAAGAUUUAAGAAAGUUCUUUGAAAGGCUUCGCAGGUAUAAUCUCAAACUCAACCCGGCAAAAUGUGUAUUUGGAGUUCCAUCUGGAAAGCUGUUGGGGUUUGUAGUCAGCCGUCAGGGAAUUGAAUUGGAUCCCACAAAAAUCAAAGCCAUUCAUGAUUUGCCCCCGCCCAAGAAUAGAACGGAGGUGAUGAGUUUGCUUGGUAGACUGAACUACAUUAGCAAGUUCAUUGCCCAACUCACGACCACUUGUGAGCCCAUAUUCAAGUUGCUGAAAAAGAGUGCUGUGGUAAAAUAGACUAAAGAAUGUCAGGAAGCGUUCGAUCGAAUCAAGAGAUAUCUGUCAAAUCCACCCGUGCUGGUACCCCCAGAGCCUGGUAUGCCUUUGAUCUUAUAUUUAUCAGUUAUGGACAAUUCUUUCGGUUGUGUCCUGGGUCAACAUGAUGUCACAGGCAAAAAGGAACAGGCUAUUUAUUAUCUUAACAAGAAAUUCACCGCAUAUGAGGCCAGGUAUACUCUUCUUGAAAGGACGUGUUGUACCCUAACUUAGGUAGCACAGAAGUUGAAGCAUUAUCUCUCAUCAUAUACUACUUAUCUCAUCUCUCGCAUGGAUCCUUUGAAGUAUAUCUUUCAGAAGCCUAUGCCGACAGGUCGAUUGGCAAAGUGGCAAAUACUGCUUAGCGAGUUUGACAUUAUAUAUGUGACUCGAACCGCCAUGAAAGCCCAAGCCUUGGUAGAUCAUCUUGUUGAGAACCUCAUCGAUGAAGAGUACGAGCCAUUAAAGACAUAUUUUCCUGACGAAGAAGUGUCGUGUGUCGAUGAAGUCGUUAUAGAUGCUGAUCCAGGUUGGAGGUUAUUCUUCGAUAGAGCUAUCAAUAUGAAAGGAGUUGGAAUAGGUGCGGUUCUUAUCUCUGAAUCGAGACAACAUUUUUCGGUGACAACACAACUUCGAUUCUACUUUACUAACAAUAUGGCAGAGUAUGAAGCCUGCAUUCUUGGUUUGAGGUUAGCUGUUGAUAUAGGAGUCCAGGAAUUAUUAGUGUUGGGAGAUUCGGAUUUGCUUAUCCAUCAAAUUCAAGGCGAUUGGAAGACACGAGAUUUGAAGCUCAUCCCGUAUCGACAAUGCUUGCAGGACCUAUGUCAACGAUUUUUGUUGGUGAAAUUUAGGCAUAUUCCAAGGAUUCAUAAUGAAAUUGUUGAUGCUUUAGCCACUCUGUCUUCAAUGCUCCAACAUCCUGAUAAAGCUUAUAUCGAUCCAGUGCAUAUAGAGAGUCGUGAUCAGCAUGCUUACUGUAAUGCGGUUGAAGAAGAGCUCGAUAGAGAACCUUGGUUCUUGAAUAUCAAGCGGUACAUUCAGUCGAGAGAAUACCCAACAUAUGACACCAACGAUCAAAAGAGGACUAUUAGGCGUUUGGCUAGUGGAUUUUUCUUAAGUGGGGGAAUCUUGUAUAAGAGGACCCCAGAUCUGGGACUUUUAAGGUGUGUAGAUGCAAGAGAAGCCCCGGCAAUCAUGGUUGAAAUACACUCUGGACUAUGCGGGUCGCAUAUGAAUGGUCAUGUCUUGUCAAAGAAGAUUCUUCGAGCAGGUUAUUACUGGCUUACUAUGGAAAGGGAUUCUAUUCAAUUUAUUCGGAAGUGUCAUCAAUGUCAGGUACACGGUGAUCUGAUACGUUCUCCUCCUGUUGAGUUGCAUGCAAUGGCCGUUCUAUGGCCAUUCGUAGCUUGGGGAAUGGAUGUGAUUGGACCGAUUGACCCGAAGGCAUCAAAUGGGCAUAGAUUCAUUUUGGUAGUCAUUGACUACUCCACAAAGUGGGGGUAGAAGCAGUCACUUUUAAGUAAGUGAUGAAAAAAGAGGUGGUAGAUUUUGUUCAUGCCAAUAUCAUUUGUAGAUUUGGAAUUUCUAAGAUGAUCAUUACAGACAAUGCUGCCAAUCUCAAUAGUCAUUUGAUGUAAGAAGUAUGUCAACAGUUUAAGAUCGCACAUCGAAAUUCUACUCCAUAUCGUCCAAAGGCCAAUGGUGCUGUAGAAGCUGCCAAUAAGAAUAUAAAAAAGAUACUGCGAAAAAUGGUACAAGGGUCNNNNNNNNNNNNNNNNNNNNNNNNNNNNNNNNNNNNNNNNNNNNNNNNNNNNNNNNNNNNNNNNNNNNNNNNNNNNNNNNNNNNNNNNNNNNNNNNNNNNNNNNNNNNNNNNNNNNNNNNNNNNNNNNNNNNNNNNNNNNNNNNNNNNNNNNNNNNNNNNNNNNNNNNNNNNNNNNNNNNNNNNNNNNNNNNNNNNNNNNNNNNNNNNNNNNNNNNNNNNNNNNNNNNNNNNNNNNNNNNNNNNNNNNNNNNNNNNNNNNNNNNNNNNNNNNNNNNNNNNNNNNNNNNNNNNNNNNNNNNNNNNNNNNNNNNNNNNNNNNNNNNNNNNNNNNNNNNNNNNNNNNNNNNNNNNNNNNNNNNGUUGUGAAGAAAGUGUUGCCCAAUGGAGCCUUAUAUUUGACAGAUAUUGAAGGCAAAAUGGCAGAAAUGGCUAUCAAUGCUGAUGCGGUCAAAAGAUACUAUGUAUGAUAUUUGAUCUUUUGUUGAGUUUAUUGCAUGCUUAGUACUUGCAUUUUUGAAGAUUGACAUAAUGAAGGCAUUUUAUUCUUUUACCCAAACAUUGUGUCAUCCCUUGUUUACCUGUUUGAGCUUCGUUUUAUUUUUCUUUUAUAUCUCUCUUUUGGAAUCAAAAUAGAGUCAAAGAUAAAUGUCAAGAAAAUAAGAACAAAAGAAAGAGUUCAAAAAAAAAGAAAAAAAAAGAAAAAAAAAUCAAAAUCAAAAUCAAAUCAAAACAAAGAACAAGCUGAUGAAACUACGUGCAAACUGAUUCUCCUCUCUCGGGAGUGAGAUACGUAGGUUGCCCUAUUUCGGGCUUGGUCAAACCAAAUAAAUAUCUAAGAUUCACCCAGUCAACAAAACUGGGGCAUGAGUUAAUGAGUUGUUUGAGUCGAUUCCAAAAGUUAUAAGUCCCACCCCCACUUCAAGUAUCGUUUGAGCCUCUUACCAUCUUGUCUAACCUUAACCAAAAGCUAAGUUACAACCAAAGAAAGCCCUUCAGAUCAAUUUUUAAUAAUGUUAAGGCUAAGCAUGCAAUGGAUAUGAUGAUACAUUGUGAAGUACCACUGGUCUCCCUCAGCAUAAGAAAUCUAGAAAGAAAUAAAAAUGAGAGAGUCUUAUUGGUGAAAACCCCGUGGGCAUCAUAAGGCAAUGGUGAGUUGAGAGAAAAUGGAAAUGAGAGAGUUUUAUUGGUGAAAACCUUUGCAGGCACCAUAAGGCGAUGGUGAGUUGAGAGAAAAUGAAAAUGAGAGAGUCUUAUUGGUGAAAACCUUUGCAGGCACCAUAAGGCAAUGGUGAGUUGAGAGAAAUAAAAAUGAGAGAGUCUUAUUGGUGAAAACCCUCACGGGCACCGUAAGGCGAUGGAGAGUUUAAGAGAAAAGCGAAAAGUGAAAAAAAAGAGAUUUGUUGGCAAAAGUCUUUUAAGAUGUCGUCAGUCGAAUGUGAUGUAUGAGCCCAAUGGAUUUGAAUAAGCGGCUCAGCAUCAAAGGCAUGAACUCAACAACAAAUGGGGAGUUUGGAUAGGAAGAUCGGGCAGCUCAAUCCAAAAUGCAUGUCAUAUUCAUUGGAGUUAGUUGUCAUAUUCAGAUAAGUUUUUUUUUUUUAAUAUGGGACAUUGCCCUUUUCUUUCAUUUACAUAUUCAUGCUUUUUGUCUUUUAUGUUAUUUAUCAAAAUAAGAGUCACUAUCAUUUCCUUACAUUUUAAGUCAAGUCGGUGUCAAAACAAGCGAAGAAAGGAUUUCAAAAUUUACUAUCAGUCUUUCCAAUUAUAUAAGGAAAAGCCAGGGAACAACAUAGGCAGAAAUAUGAUCGUAAUUCAACACGAAGCAAAAGGAUUCUAUCAACCGACAGGCUAUUGGAUUCGUAGAAGCAUUCAGAUUUGGGAAAAAAGUGCACCUCAGGGGCAUGGUAAAAUGGAAACCCAUUGUUUGAAUCAGAACUCAUUUCCCUGAAUGUGGGUCCGGGACAAUGAUGCGGCAAGACAGGGCAAGUGUUAGCGAUUUGGGAACAAAGAUAAAAGGAAUGAGUGUUAGGCAGAUACCUGAGAAGCCAAGAUCUGCAAGCCACCACUAAGUUUUUAACUGACAAAUUUUCUUUGUUGAAACAUGGGCAAAUUCGUUUCACUUGAUUCAGCUACCAUUGGAAAUGCACAUCCAUGGGAUUCUACUUUAUGUUCAGGACCCUCCUGAAAAAUGGGAUUUUACUUUAUGUUCAGGACCCUCCGGAAAAAUGGAAUUUUCCUUUAUGUUCAGGACCCUCCUAAAAAAUGGGAUUUUACUUUAUGUUCAGAACCCUCCUGAAAAUGGGAUUUUACUUUCUGUUCAGGCCCUCCUGAAAAAUGGGAAUUUACUUUUAGUUCAGGACCCUCCUGAAAAAUGGGCUUUUUACUUUCUGCUCAGGACCCUCCUAGAAAAUGGGAUUUUACUUUAUGUUCAGGACCCUCUUGAAAAAUGGGAUUUUACUUUAUGCUCAGGACCCUCCUGAAAAAUGGGAUUUUACUUUAUGUUCAGGACCCUCAAGAAAAAUGGGAUUUUACUUUAUUGUUCAGGACCUCCUGAAAAAUGGGAUUUUACUUUCUGCUCAGGACCCUCCUGAAAAAUGGGAUUUUACUUUAUGUUCAGGACCCUCCUGAAAAAUGGAAUUUUAUUUUCUUCUCAGGACCCUCAUAAAAAUUGGGAUUUUACUUUUCGUUUAGGACCCUCCUGAAAAAUGAGAUUUUACUUUAUGUUCAGGACCCUCCUGAAAAAUGGGAUUUACUUCAUGUCAGGACCCUCCUGAAAAAUGGGGUUUUACUUUAUGUUCAGGACCCUCCUGGAAAAUGGGAAAACGCUUUCAAAAAUGAAAUACUACUUUAUUAUAAUUCUUGUUUGGUAUAAUUUUCGUUCUAAUUUUAAUUUUGGGUUUCAUGAGCCCGCCUGAAGAACAGGGUGAUGAAAUAGCAAGUCCGAAGCCCGCCAGGAGAACAAAGCAAAGUAAUUGAAAGCCAAGCAACAAGGUGAAAGAAAUUGCAAGUCAGGAGCCCGCCUGAAGAAUAGGGUAAUGAAAGUCGAGUCAAGAACGAACAAAAUUUGUAUAGAUAGGAUUUUUGUAAUUUGAUUUAUGUUUUAACUUGCAUUGCUGAUGUAAUAACAGAGCCGCGGACCGGAACCUCGAUGGAACCUCACUCGACUCUCCAACUCGGUACAGUCCUUCCCUUUCCAGUCCUUUGAAAUACUCGUGACUCGAUCCUCUCAUAAUGUGAGUAGGUGGGAUGUCUUAAGUCAAAACCCGGUUGUCCUUCUUCCUUCUGUUUCUUUCUUUGAAUAAUGGUCGGGUCAAAAUUCGGUCUCGCUGUCUACUUCUUUGCCUGAAAACACUUUGUGUUUACAUCCAAAGGGGGCAUGAUGUAGACACCUAAUUUCGUCCCUCCCCGAUGUCAUUUUUACCCUUUCUUUUUUUAUCCUACCGUGUACCCUCACCUAUGUCAUUAUACCCCACAAAAUACAAAAAAAUAACAAACAAAUAAUAAAAUAACUAAUCCUAUCUUAUCCUAACAACCUACCCAAUAAAAAAAUAACACCUCACCACUAUCCCCUACCCCACGUUACCCCACCCCCCUCUUUUUUUUCUUGUCCAAGAAGAAAGGACCCAAAAAAAGAAAAUACCAUACAUAUACCCACAUACACACAAAAGAAAGGGGAGUAACAGAAAAGGAAAAAAAAGAAAGUUGCAAUCAGCUCUUUCUCUCUCUCUAGAUUCUACUCUCUCUCUUCCUCUUUAAAAUUGAACCUCCGUUCGCCGCCCUCUCUCCCCGUCGCCGGCGAGACCCUUCACUUCUAAGCUCCCUCCGACCGGUGACCAGCGAAACUAUCGUUGCCAUCAUCGCCACCACUUCGCUGCCGGCCAGCGACGCCCAACGAAACCACCGCCAGCUCCGACGAAACAGUCACCAUCCGGCAAAGACACCGUCGUCGUUUCAACCAUAACGACGACGGCCGGCCCACCAACGCCGACACCGGCGAUAACGCUCCAGCCGCAGCUUCCUCCUCUCUUCUCCUCCGGCCAAACCCGCUAGAUCUGCCGCUGUCAACCCGAUCUCUCACCAGCAACGACGACAGCGUCGGUGUUGGUGCCAGCGCCGCUCCGUGUCGGCCAAAUCCAGCCGCAGUCAUCCGUCGGUGACAACACCGUUCGCCGGCCGAGAAUCCGACCAGCUCCGCUGCUCCAAUUUCCUUCUCCGUCGGCGACAGUCACCGAAAACAGCGACGCCGGUGACCGACAACGACUCCCCUUCCAUUUUCCCUUCGACUCCGAGGAGAUUUCGCGUAUGGGUCUUCUCGAUUUUUCAUAAUUUCAGUCUCAGUUCAUCUGGUAUUUCUUAUUUCUUCAUGCAAGGAUAGUUGGAAAUCGUUUAUUUGGGGUUUCGAAUCUAGGAUCUUGGGUUGUUUUUGAAGUUUAUUUGGAUUUGUGGGUUAUUCAUCGUGAGGUUUUUGUCGUGGUUUUCCGCUUUGUCCGGUUGAACUCAAUAUCGAGUUUGGAGUGGUUCGUUGUGAGGCUCUCCGAUCGAGUAUUUUGGUCUUCGAAUUUCUUUAUUAUCGACAAGGAUUAGUUUCGUCAAGGUUCAUUUCUUCUAACCGAAUCUUUAUAUUUAUUUUGACUUUUUAUUGAUGUUGUUGGGGUGGAUGAUUUAUUUGAUAUGUGUUUGGUUUGAAUCUUCGUUGUUUGUGUUGUGUUUGAUGUUGGUUUCGGAUCAUGAGAUGUGAUUAGAAAAUCGAAGCAUGUAUUAAUCAUGUGGUUUAAAAGGAAUUCGGGGCGCGAGUUAAAAAUUGUUAAAGUGAAUUAGGAUUAAUUUUUAUUUGUUGUUGUUUCGAUUCGUCGUUAUUGUUACUUUCACGGCUAAUUAUCAAUUUCGUGAUAGUAUCAUAGUAAGUCAAGCGGGUAGGCAAUCGUAGGUUCGGGUAGGCAAAAUUUAGGAAUAAGUGUUUCGUUGGAUGUUGGAAUUUGCGUGUGAAUGUUUCUUUCUAGUUUAUCGUAUUUAAUUUAGAUGUAUUUAUUUAGCCGGGGAAUGCCCCAAGAUCACUUGUAUUUAUUCACCGGGGAAUGUCCCGACGUAUCAUGUUAGCGGAAAAUAAUCGUGAUGAAGGGCCGCGGCGUCGGGUAAGACAUUGGAGCUUAGUCUAGAUUUAGUUUAGACUAGGAUUUAUAUUUUCGUAUUUUUUCUAUUUUUCGGACUGUAUAAUUGGACUAGACUUUUACGUUUUUGGACUGUUUUGUUUUGUUUAUUGUUUGAUUAUUUUGUGUUCUUUUGUGUGGUUUAUACAUUUCAUAAUGCCAAAAUAGUCGAUACACUCCACCAAGCGACCGUGGUCGAACCACAGGAUCGAGGGGUGCCUAACACCUUCCCCUCGGUCAACAGAAUUCCUUAGCCGAAAUCUCUGUUUGCAAACCGGUUUAAGAGUCAAAUGGUUUCGAAAAGGAUUUUCCAAAGGUGACUUGGCACACCGGAUUAUGUCAAGUGGCGACUCUGAAUAAAAAAUGCAAAUAAUCCUUUUCCAAAACAAAUUUUCAUUUCUUGUCACUUAAAUAAUAAAAUCCUUUCGAACUUUAAAAUGUAUCAAUUUUUUGGAGUACGCGUAAAAAAGGGGUGUGACAAGUGUUGCAAUGGUGAACUUCUUGAAAUUGCCGACUACACCUCACACUAGUCCUUACAAGUUGCAAUGGCUGAAUGAAUGCGGCGAGUUAAAGGUCACAAGGCAAUGUGUGAUACGUUUUAAGGUAGACAACUACCAUGACGAGGUGUUUUAUGAUGUGAUACCAAUGCAAGCUUAUCACUUGUUGUUAGAAAAGCCUUGGCAAUACGAUAGGUCGACCAAACAUGAUGGAAGGUCCAAUCGGUAUACACUUGAGAAGGAUGGCCGAAAGGUCGCUCUUCAUCCAUUAUUGCCUUUCCAAGUGAAUGAAUUAUACUAAAAGAUGCGGGAAUUGAGGGAAAAGGGAAAGAAGGCCGAGAGUGAGGGAAAAAAAAGGGAACCCGAGAGUGAGGGAGUAGGGAAAAUCGAGGGGCUCCUAAUUUCUAAGGGGAAAGGAAGUGUGGUGAUAAUGGCUAGGAGGAAAGAAUUAUUUGUGGAUCAUGACGAGGGCACUCUGAUGCUCUUCUUGGCUCAUUGUUUUAACACUAACGCCACUAACAUUUCCAUUUCUCCUCCUAUUUCUCAUAUUUUGCAGGAUUACGAGGAUGUCUUCCCAAAGGAUUUACCGCAAGGAUUGCCACCACUUUGCGGAAUUGAGCACCAAAUAUAUUUUGUGCCGGGUUCAUAAUUACCCAACAAAUCGGCUUAUAGGAGCAACUCGAUGGAUACCAAGGAAUUGCAACGCCAAGUUGAGGAACUUCUCAAUAAAGGAUAUAUCAAGGAGAUUAUGAUCCCUUGUGCGGUUCCGGUGCUACUAGUUCCCAAGAAAGAUGGGACUUGGCGUAUGUGCGUAGAUUAUCGAGCCAUCAACAAGAUAACGGUAAAAUAUCGUCACCCUAUUCCUAGGUUAGAUGAUAUGCUUGCUGAAUUGAGUGGUUCGUGUUUGUUUUCUAAAAUUGAUUUGAGGAGUGGCUAUCAACAAAUUCGUAUGCAACCGGGUGAUGAAUGGAAAACCACCUUCAAGACCAAAUUCGGUCUCUAUGAAUGGAUGGUUAUUCCAUUCGGCCUAACAAACGCUCCAAGUACUUUCAUGAGGCUAAUGAAUCAUGUGAUGAAGCCAUUUAUCGGAAAGUUUAUUGUUGUUUAUUUUGAUGAUGUAUUGGUGUAUAGUAAGUCCUUAGAUGAGCAUGUAAAGCAUUUACAAUGUGUAUUUGAUGUCCUCCGAAAGGAGAAGUUAUAUGCUAAUCUAGAAAAGUGUUCUUUUGGUGUCCAUGAGGUUGUAUUUCUUGGGUUUGUGGUGAGCUCAAGAGGGGUCGAAGUGGAUGAAUCUAAUAUUGGCGCCAUUAAAAAUUGGCCAACUCCCAAAACCGUAGGUGAAGUGAGAAGCUUCCAUGGGUUGGCUAGUUUUUAUAGACGUUUUGUUAAAGGAUUUAGCACCAUUGCCGCCCCCUUGACCGAAGUGAUUAAAAAGGAUCGGCCUUUCAAGUGGGGAGAUGAACAAGCUAAGGCCUUCAAGGACUUGAAAGCUAUGCUCAUCUCGAUCCCUUUGCUACAAUUUCCGAAUUUUAACAAGUCUUGUAAGGUCGAAUAUGAUGCAAGCAAAGUCGGCAAAGGCACGGUUUUAAUGCAAAAAUUGAAGCCUAUUGCCUACUUUAGCGAAAAGAUCAAAGGAGCAACUCUAAACUACUCUACGUACGAUUUAGAGUUGUAUGCCUUGAUUAGAGCCUUGGUCACUUGGCAACAUUAUUUGUGGCCUAAAGAAUUCGUGAUCCGAACGGAUCAUGAAUCCUUGAAGCAUCUACGGGCACAAGACAAGCUUAACCGGCGGCAUGCCAAAUGGAUUGAAUUUCUUGAAACUUUCCCUUAUGUUAUUCAAUACAAAAAAAGUAAAGACAAUGUAGUUGCCGAUGCUUUGUCCCGAAAACAUGUGCUUGUGUCUACUUUGUCGUCUAAGUUAAUGGGGUUUGAAAGCCUCAAGUCUUUAU